rnacentral:lncRNA from 1 species
UUGGAUGGUUGGCCUCUUGGUUACAAGCAUGUACAUUAUGGCUCUCUCCUUGCCUGGAACUGGAUAUGAGAAAUGCUUGAAUUAAGAUCUGUGAAUUAUCUUAUUUUCUUGUCAGAAGGAUGCAGAUUGCCCAUACUUCAUAGCAGAGCAACAGGAGGGACUUAGGGACAAAAAGCUCAAAGGCAAGGAAGACUGAGGAAGCUAAGUUACUGGCCAUAUGUUUAAUAAAUAUAAGCUUAAUGGCAGUGAAUGUAUUAAUGUCAGCGAAGACAAGUCUAUGAAGUUAAACAGGCACAGAGAGGCUAAGAGUCUUGCCAAAGGCCACAGAGGAAGGAAGAGACUAAAUCUGGAACAAACUUUCUAUUCUCCAUUUCCAGAAGAAACCACUAAACCAUGCUUCCUCUUGUCAUGGAAGCUUAAAAUAUUUGGACUGUCUGUGGAUCCAGGGAGGAAUUUCAGAAGAGCCAGGAUUAGUCAAUCAAAUUAAACUCAAUAUCACCCAAAUAAAGUUGGUCAGAUCAAACUACGUUUAAAUAAGAAUUAAAAUGCCAUUUGUCCAUCACCUAAUGGCUCAAUUUGCUCCUGCCUUGGGUGUGCACACCCUGCUCUGGAACAGACCAGAGCUCUAAAGAAGUGACUGGAAGUUGUGAAUGUCAUUGUUAUGAAGCUUCAAAUUUGCUCUCCUCUUUAGGACACAGACAUGGCAUUAGAGAAGGGCAGAAAACUGCACUUGGCUGUGCAUAGAGAACACUAGAGACCUCUUGUGCAAGAGAGGGGACUAGGUUGCGUAGUGUAAUGAGAGAAGCAUGGGUUUUGAGACCGCUACAAUGUCUGUGUCUUCUUGGCCAACAUUUCAGUAAGAGUAGUAAGCAUAUCUCCACAAUAGGGUUAAGAGAACCAGUGUCUUCUGAAAAACACAUGAAAUCAUCGUAACCCUGCUAAGUCUGUGCUUUGCAAAAAUUAAAACUAAAACUAAUUUUC